rnacentral:rRNA from 1 species
GACGGAGGGUGCUAGCGUUGUUCGGAAUUACUGGGCGUAAAGGGCGCGUAGGCGGCUGCUCAAGUCGGGUGUGAAAGCCCGGGGCUCAACCCCGGAACGGCACCCGAGACUGGGCGGCUCGAGACCGGGAGAGGUGGGUGGAAUACCCAGUGUAGAGGUGAAAUUCGUAGAUAUUGGGUGGAACACCGGUGGCGAAAGCGGCUACACUGGCCCGGUUCUGACGCUGAGGCGCGAAAGCGUGGGGAGCAACAGG